AGUGUCACCUGCUCAGAAACAAGGAGCAGCUUUGCUAGACCGUCCCAGCAGCACAGAAGUGCCAUCUGGACCUGGGAGAAGUGUGAAUCUUGUCUCAACUACAGAUGAUCCUAGCACUGUGCAAGCAAACACCCUUAAGGAAAGAGUGCAAUAUGAAUUUGGGUGUAACCAAGCUAUGGUGAGGUCCCCUCCAAAGGAGCAAGAUUAAAUAUGGCUGUAUGAGCCAGCACUAAUCUACUGAGAAGUGGGCAUGCUGGACCAUAGGCAGCCAGCAGUUCGCAGCACAUUGGGGUGCUCCCAUGGCCUGCAGAGAAGAGGGCUACAUGAGACAAGUGUCCCCCUCCAGAGCUUCAAAUGGACCUGAAGCUCCAUGCUUCUCCCCGUGGGAACAAGCUCAAUUUUGUGCUUUGGUCUAAAGAGAGAUCAAGAAGCACUACCAGAACCAGAGCCAGAAAGGAAUGGGUAAUGGGGUGAGUAAGAAGCCUACCAAACCUGUUCAGACUGCUCCUGGGAAGAACAACAGUGACAGCAGAUGGCAGUGCCCAGGAAAUGACUGGGGCUGGUGGGCAGCACUAUUCAGCACUUCCAGCACUAAUUUGAUAGCUGGUGGGCAGUGGUGAAGGGAAAGCAAUGGGGUCAGGUGGGAUGAGGCCACCCUGGAUAGACACUGUUCCUAUCUCUCAGACCUAAAUGCCCCUCCUUACAGGGGCAGGUGCUCAAC
rnacentral:lncRNA from 1 species